rnacentral:rRNA from 1 species
UACGGAGGGAGCUAGCGUUGUUCGGAAUUACUGGGCGUAAAGAGCGUGUAGGCGGUCCGAUAAGUCGGCUGUGAAAGUCCAGGGCUCAACUCUGGAAUGCCGGCCGAUACUGUCGGACUAGAGUCCGGAAGAGGUGAGUGGAAUUCCCGGUGUAGCGGUGAAAUGCGCAGAUAUCGGGAGGAACACCGGUGGCGAAGGCGGGUCUCUGG